UGCGUUGCCGCGCUUAGCCUUGAUAUCU
rnacentral:sRNA from 1 species